UAGAGUUUGAUCAUGGCUCAGAACGAACGCUGGCGGCAGGCCUAACACAUGCAAGUCGAACGCCCCGCAAGGGGAGUGGCAGACGGGUGAGUAACGCGUGGGAACAUACCCUYCGGUUCGGAAUAGCUCAGGGAAACUUGAAUUAAUACCGGAUACGUCCGCGAGGAGAAAGAUUUAUCGCCGAAGGAUUGGCCCGCGUCUGAUUAGCUAGUUGGUGAGGUAACGGCUCACCAAGGCGACGAUCGGUAGCUGGUCUGAGAGGAUGACCAGCCUCACUGGGACUGAGACACGGCCCAGACUCCUACGGGAGGCAGCAGUGGGGAAUAUUGGACAAUGGGCGCMAGCCUGAUCCMRCCAUGCCGCGYGWGRKKRRKRARGSCYUWRGGKUKKUAAAGCUCUUUUAGCAGGGAAGAUAAUGACGGUACCUGCAGAAAAAGCCCCGGCUAACUUCGUGCCAGCCGCCGCGGUAAUAC
rnacentral:rRNA from 1 species